rnacentral:piRNA from 1 species
UAAGCCUUGAGAACUUAGU